rnacentral:lncRNA from 1 species
UGAAGUAGCCAAGAAAGCAGCAUGCGGGCCCCCAUACCCCAUAGGAACACCGAACCUCUGCGCGGACCCCACCACAAUAUCCGCCCCCAAUUCGCCAGGUGGCUUCAGCAUCGUCAAGGCCAACAAAUCCGAAGCCAUCACCACCUUCACACCAUUAGCAUGAGCGUUCUUGAUGAACUCGCCGUAGUCCAAAACCUCACCCUCUGUACCAGGGUACUGCACUAAAACGCCACAAACAUCGCCCGAUUUGUAAUCGAUGUCCUUAACAUCGGAUACAACUACUUUGAGAUCGAAUCCGUCCGCUCGGGUUUUGCAGAUGUCGAUUGUCUGCGGGUGGCAGUUGCUUGCUAUGAUGAAUGUCUUCUUCUUGCCUUUAAGGAUGUUGUUGCACAUGGCCAUGGCUUCGGCGGCGGCUGUGCCUUCGUCGAGGAGCGAGGCGUUCGACAUGGGCAAGGCGGUGAGAUCUGUGAUCAUGGUUUGGUAGUUGAGCAGGGAUUCGAGCCUGCCCUGUGAAAUCUCGGCCUGGUACGGUGUGUACUGUGUG